UUGAAGCCAGGAGUUGCUUUGAAACAUGCUAAAGAGGGAACCGAAAGUUCGGCAUUCUGGUUUGCACUUGGAGGCAAACAAAGUUACACCAGCAAAAAAGCUUCUCCAGAAAUUGCCAGAGAUCCCCACCUGUUCACUUUCUCAUUUAAUAAAGGAAAAUUUCAGGUUGAGGAAGUUUACAACUUUUCCCAAGAUGAUCUAUUGACUGAGGAUAUUUUGAUACUUGAUAC
rnacentral:misc_RNA from 1 species